rnacentral:rRNA from 1 species
AGCAGCCGCGGUAAUUCUAGCUCCAAUAGCGUAUAUUAAAGUUGUUGCAGUUAAAAAGCUCGUAGUUGAAUUUCGGGAUUUGUCAGUUGGUCGGGCUUCACUGUCCGUAUUGACUCGAUGGAUUCUUACCUUCUGAAUAACCAGCAUGCUAUUAAGUUAGUGCGUUGGGGAAGCAGAUCUAUUACCUUGAAAAAAUUAGUGCUUAAAGCGAGCUAGUGCAUGAAUAGAUUAGAAUGGAAUAAUAAAAUAGGACGGCAUGGUUCUAUUUGUUGGUUUCUAGGAACACCGUAAUGAUUAAUAGGGAUAGUUGGGGGCAUUAGUAUUCAAUUGUCGGAGGUGAAAUUCUUGGAUUUAUUGAAGACUAACUUCUGCGAAAGCAUUUGCCAAGGAUGUUUCAUUAAGUCAAGAACGAAAUGUUAGGGGAUCGAAGACGAUCAGAUACCGUCGUAGUCUUAACCAUAAACUAUGCCGACUAGGAAUCGGGCGAUGUUGACAAAAUGACGCGCUCGGCACCUCAUGG